AGAGGGUGUUUCUUGGUACUCUGGCAAACCCUUGAUAGGAAUUUCUCAGUGAUGCUCCCCUUUUCCCCUUCAGACGCCAUUCCCAAGAGAGCCUUCUCAUUUACACUGCAGCUGGGAAAGGACAGCUUUACAGCAUAGGUCUACAAGAUGAAAUGAUAGCUGAGUGCUGUGAUCUUUAGCUCCAUUAACGUAAUAAACACUGGGUCCAGGGGCCAUAUAUCUAGGCUUGCAAGGUUUAGCCAAGUAAACAAUGUUUUAAAUCAACAAUUAAUGACAGGUUUUCGACUCUCAAGUUGGUUUGUCUGUUUGGAGAACAAUAAGUCUAACUGCAUGUUUUCUCCCAAAAUGGUAGGGACUAGAUAGAACUUCCUUAUCUUGCAUGAGAUUUUUAGCAGAUGGCCUGGGAUAAAAUGUUUCCAACAACAACAACAAAAGACAUAAUUAAGAUAUUUGUAAAAGGUUUAUUUUUCUAAAAUAGGACUGGGACUGAGGUUCCUCUUUCCAGAUUUGGGAGUUUCAUCAUGACAAGCUUGCCUGUGCCCUGUACUGCCCUUUUCAAGUUUCUCAAGGUCUUUAAUAUAGCUUCUCCCUCCCUGACCCCCUUCUCCCUGGAGAACAUCCUGAAUAGGAAGGAGAAAAAGAGCAGGAACUAAACUCCCCUGAGACCCCACAGAAGGAGAAAAGCAUUGGUCUUCCCCUACAUGGGCUCCUUUCCUGAUACAACAACUGAAAUGAUCCUUCCCUCUCCUCCUCUGCCUACUCACCACUGUCACUUCUCAGCUGCUGCCUCACCUCAUCAAUGAAUGCUCUCUCCAGGGACAAGUCUUCUUUCAUUGGUAACUGAGAUUCUUGGGUAAUUGUUAAACUGGAAAUUGCUUUAAGAAAAAAAACCCUCCAGCUAUCUCACAUAACACUUUAAAAGUUAAGACUUACCAUUCACAUAAUCACAAGCUGACAGCAAUCUGCAGGUUGAGUGAUUCUGAUUUUUUUCCUCUCCCUCUUCCAGAAGCAGGUGGGUUGAUAUAAUGCCAGCCUUAAAUAGAAAGCUUUAUUUAUAGCCUUAGCAGAAUGAGUAAAGAGCUGGCAUAAUCAAGAGAGUACUUCAUAUUUUAAGGAAGGCUUUAUCUUUAAUAUGCAAAAUAGUCAAUAGAAGACAACAAAAAAAUGCAAAUUUAUGUUUUACUAAAUUGCUUAACUAAAUUAAUUCCAAUAAAGUUCAAAAGAUAACUGUCCAUACUGAAGAUGGGUCAGAGUCAAAUACUUUAUACCUGUUCUAAAAGGACCCAAAAGAAAGCAGAAAUUUAAUUGCCAUGUUAACUUACGUUAUUUUGUUGCAUACCUCCUAUUAUAAAUUGCUUUAAUAUCUUUAAUCUACACUGCAAUAUAUACAAUAAAAUCAACAAUACAAUAUAAUCAAAUAAUAAUUAUACUGGAGAUUAAUUCAGACUUGAAAAAUAAAUUUCAUUCUUUACAACAAGGUAUGUCCAGCAGCAAACCGACUUAUAUACAUAUCUAUAUGAUAACAAGAGAUUGGAAUUGAAUCAUGAACAAACUUUGUAUAGAGGCUAUUUGGAAGAAAACAUGCCCUUUUUCUCCCCAGUUAUAAAAUCAGGUAUAUCAUAAACACCUGAGCUGCUUCAUACACAAGACAGUUGUCUUCACAUUUUUUCCAUAUGGUAUAGAAUGACCCAAAUCAUAAUUAAUUUAAAAGCUACUGUUUAUAUAUACAUAUAUAAAUAUGUGGGGAAGGGUGGUUUGAUUUUUUAUAAGUGUUUAUAACCGUUUUAAAAGUUGAUAAGCUUGUACAGGAGAAAAAGAAAGAAACAAUAUCUAUCUGUGUUUUCCCUUAAUGUCUUUUAUCAAAAAUCCUAUUUUGAGACUAUCUCAUGAUUAAAAGUUAAUAAUCAACAACCUAACAAAACUUUUUCUAAAUAAGCCUGAUAGUUUGUUUUUGUUUUGGAAAAUUUAAUGCUAAUGACAAGAGUAUCUUGACUAAGUUUUGCAUCUCAUUAGCUAUUAUUGCUUAAUUGUUGUGGGCAUGUUUUUUUUUUAACAUGUAAAAACUAGUUAACUUAUUUUAUAACAUGUAAAAUAAGUUAAGAAAACAUGUUUUCUUUGCUGAUGAAAGGGCUUAAGCAGCUGACAUCUCGGUUAAAUUCACUGAGGUAUUGAUAUGAAAUGCAAUGCAGGACAAUUGGAGUCAUAUAAAAAAUAUUUUCUUAUUGAGAAAAGUAGGUUACAUGGGUCUUACAGGGAACAUGAGGUAGCACUGUAUUAAUCAGCAACCUGCAAUACUGUCAGAGCCCAAGCAGGUCCAGUGGUAACUCAUUCAAAUGCUAAGGUGAAUGGAGACAACUCGGAGAGGAAUCAAAAGACAAGCUAUCCAGCUACAGAAGCAAAGUUACAGAGGGGUCAGAGUUCAACCUGCUGGGUAUCCAAAUUUAUGUAAUAUCAGCCACAGUCUAAAAAUAUUCUUCUUCAGUGGAGCUAAAUCCUGUAUCACUUGCAAAAGUAUCCCAAAUUCAUUUGACUUAAUUACAUAAGCAAGUAAUGGGCAUAACUUAAGGCAUGAAAUCUAUUUGAGCAAAAAGUGAAGGGUUCAGUAAGCCAUACAUACACCACCACCAUCUAGUUUUUCUUUCUUAGUUAGCCUUCUCUCAGCCAAAUGAUUCAAAACAUUGUGUCAGGUAGGAAGGCACAAAAAAAUUAAAAAGAGAAACAUCUUCAGUCUUCAAGCAAAUUGAAACAAGGGAAAGAGAAAAUUGUCUAAAGAGGAAGUGAAUUGAAAAUUUAGAAACUCCUCGGGCUGAGACUGAAGGUGCUCGCUUUACCUUUUGUACUUGAGCGACUGGGCUUCAGGGAGAUGUAUUCAGGUAGGUGUCAUCAUCUAGGAUAUCAUAUUCACUCUCUGUGGCUCAUUAGGUGACUUCCAGUGAAGGAGGAGGAGGUGGAGAAAGAAGCAGAAAGCUGACAAUAAUGGUACCUGGAAGUCACAUUGUUAGAUAACGAGAAAUUAGGACUCACCUCCAGGAAGCAACAGACACACAAAUACUAAGACUGUUAGCUAAAAAUCAGAAAAGGUCCCUUUGCUAUUUACUGUGUUUUUUUUGUUGUUGUUGUUUGAGAGCGAGUCUCACUCGGUCACCAGGCUAGAGUACAAUGGCGCGAACUCGGCUCACUGCAACCUGUGCCACCCAGAUUCCAGCGAUUCUCUACCCUCAGCCUUCAGAGUAGCUGUGAUUACAGGUGCCCACCACACCUGGCUAAUUUUUAUAUUUUUUUAGUAGAGACGGAGGCUUCACCAUGUUGGCCAGGAUGGUCUCAAUCUCCUGACCUGAUGAUCCUCCCUCCUCAGCCUCCCAAAGUGCCGGAAUUGCAGGCGUGAGCCACUGUGCCUAGCCUGCUAUUCUUUAAUUGGAAAAUGAAGAGCUUUCCCCUAGAAAGAGAAUUUCUUCUUGAAAAUUUUCUGUUAAUACCAGAGCUGCUCUGGUCAGUCAUAUCUCUAACAGUGGGCUUUUAUUUUAUGCUACUAAAUCAAUAUGACUGAAACAAAGAGCCAUUUCCCAUGAACAUAGUUUUGAAUGUGUUGGGUAUACAUCUCUGCCAAUCAAUAUUAGGAGUUGUCCAGUAAACUCAGCAAUCAGGGAUAAGAUGGUCCCAAUACUUCAGGACUUGUACUUAAACAAUGGGAAGAAGAUAAUAUAAUGAAGUUAAGGCUAUACUCAGUGGCCUGGCUUCUGGCUCUGCACUUUAUAGAUUUUCUGAUCAUGUAUGACUUCGUAAAUUUAGAAGUUCAUCAUAGUUUUGUGUUACUGUUGUUUGGUUUCUUCUUUCUCCCGUUUUCCUCUGUCAUGAACAUACUGCCCUUGCUAGAUGGCUGUCAGUGUUUUUGUGUUGUUCAAUACAGUCGAAAUAAAAAUUAGGAGUUUCUACCUACUCCCUUUAAGGCAGAUAAGCUUACUGUACAACCCUAUAUUCCUUUCUUAAUUACUUCAUUAUCAGACCUAAAACACAGGAGGUGAAGACUCAUGUGGAAUAAAGCAAAGUUAAGGAGAAAAUUGAGAAACCGGAGGGGAAAUUUACCUACUAUUUCUGCCACUGAUUGGUGGAAAAAUCUGAAAACACUGGCUUCUAGGGCUUGUCACACUGGUGCCUUUCAUCAACUCUUAUAAAUAACUAAAUGCAAAAAUUAUGAUCCUCUAUCAAAAAAAAUUGGAUUGGGAAGGAGCUCCCUUAUUACAGCUAUGCAGGCAUGGUUUUAUUCCAUAAUAUUGUCAUUGGUAAAUCAGCACAUGUCAAUAAAUCUCUCAAAAUAGUCUAUCUAUUUUAAUGGCAGAAUGACACAUAUAUAUGUAUAUAGUACUAAGAACCAUCUGGAGAAAAGGACAAAGAUAAGGCAGAUGGAAAAUGUGGAUUCUUACUCUUCUGUUUGGCUGCUAAUAAAGAAAACUAAGAACUCACGUGAAUCACCAGAGUGUCAGGGUCUCAGAGCUGAAAACCCAAGGAGUCUCUACAAAAAUAACAGACUGCUAGAGAGGAUACCUCUUUGAUUGAAAUACCUAAAUCUUUUAUGUGAUUGCAAAAGCUAUAUCUAUAGUGAAUAGUUUUGUAUUGUCACAUUUGGAGAUAAAUUUGAUUACUAGAUCCCCAUCUAAGGCAGAAGUAGCAUUUAUGUGAACCCUUUUCUAACUACCGCAUCACUAUCCAUAUUAUUUCCAAGCACAAGAGAUCAAGUAUGCUGGAACCAUAGCACAGAGGCAAUUCACUACAUCUAGUCUAUUCCUGUAGCCAUGGGCUAUUAGCUGGAUGUACAAAAGACUAAUAGGUUACAUCCAUUCUAUACAUGCAGAGCUCUGAGAAAAGUUAAACCAACACUUCUUCAAACCUGCACACACAAAUCCAUUCUGUGGCAUCCAGUGUUUCUUUAAGCCUCAUGCUGUAUUAGUACUAACAUCCUACAGGGAAUUAAUUCACUGAGCACAGAACAAAUGUAUAAUGCAAAGAGAUUACCAAGUCUGCUCCACCACCUUGAUUUAUAUAAGCUCUUCUAUUUUAGCAACACCUGGAGAAUCCAGUGGUCUGUGCUUCCACGGUCUCAAGAGCCCUUCAUGGCACUGCUGUAAGAAAGUUGCUGGCUUUAAUGCAGGGCUGGUUUCAACAUAGGGCAGCUGUUUUCUGCUGUGAGUCUUUUGGGGGAAAAAAAAAUAGGUUCAUCGAAAUCGAAAGUAACUGACAAAUGUAUCCUGGCUAGUGAGUCUAGGGAGAGUAGUUCAUUGUUCAGGUAGUUCAAUAUAUUUUCAAAAGAGCAUUUUAUACAAUUGAAGAGCACAAGCAUUUCAAAUAAAUGGCAAUGAUCAUAUAAGCAUAUAUGAUAGUUUAAUUGCAGAGAAAAUGGGUGAUGUUUGUGCAUAUCACACUGCCUUGAAUAUUGAUCUGGAGUUCAUUUCCAAAUUGAUAAGUAAAUACAUUCUAUAUUGAAAAUGAUUUUAAAUGUCUUUGUAUUUAUCUUUUUUAAAUACGGCCAAUAAUUGGCUUAAAUACAUGCCCACAGAAUAUUCAGAAAUCUACUCAGUUCUUUCCUUCUCAUCCUUGAUUAGAAGUUAAAAAUCAGAUUCCUCUGGCUUUGUUUUAAAAGAUACAGAAAAUUUAGUUUUCCACCUAUCCAAGCACAAUCUCCUUUCAUUCAUUUACUCAUUUAUUUAAUUAUGUAACAUCUACUGAGUAUCCAUUAUCAUAGGAAUUGAACAGCCCAUCACUGAAGUCGUCACCAAACUGUGAUUCAAACGUUAAUCCUGUGUUUCUCCACAUUAACUCCUUUGGCUUCCAUACUGAUUGCAACCUGUGUCUCAUUCUAACAUCUAAAUCAUGUGGUUUAGAGACAGGCCUUACAGUCCACCAGGCCAGGCACAAUCCUGGCGUCAAGGACCUACCUGCUUUAAUGAUCCACUCUCAGGGAGUCAGAACAGUUAAAUAUUAAGAAGACAAGGAUCUGGAGUAAGAGUCCCUAGGGCUGUGUCACUGGAUUCAUGUUUCUUUAUGGGCAAGCUACUUGACAUCUCUGCAUCCCCAUCUCUCAAAAUAACCAUAACACUACCUACCUCACAAGGGUGCUGUGAGGCUUACCAUGAAAAGCAUGAGGAAAUGGUAUGUAGAAUUGGGGACCUAGUAGAAAGGUGCUACAGGAUUACAGUAACUAGAUGUCAUUGAGUAUGAACCCCGCUUUCCCUAGGAGCCCCAGGUCUGCCAGAAUAUGUCUAAUCUCUUUACAACUAAAAUCUAAAAUGGUGUUGGCCAUGGAUUGGCUUGGUUUAUCUUUAAUGUCAUUGAUUUUUACAAAAUUCAUAACAACACCCUUUUUCUUGGAGAGAUGCUGGAUUGAAGAAAUUAUUAAUUUUAACAAAGGAGAACAAAAAUGAUUCACUUCCAGGUGCUGGGUGUGGGAAAACAGUUAUUUAUUUCAAUAGGAAACAAGAGUUUGAAUGGGUAUCUUCAAGGGGAUGCAUUUUAUUGGAGACAUUGAUUGCCUGGGGCUUUCUGUUUUCAGUCUGACUCCCCAGCUUUCUGUAUCAUUGUUUUAACAUACAUCCCCUUUUCUCCUUUAUUGGAAGAGAAGCUGUAAUUCUCAUUUCAUGAUAAUUCUUUUCAUUCAGUCUGUUUUGCUCAAAGGACAAAUUCUUUUCAAUAACUAUUGUAAUUAUUUUCUUAGAGGGCCAUUUUUAAUUGCCAUAUUGUUUAGCUAAGCCCGAUUGUCUUGGUGUCCUUCAAAACUGUCAGUUGCUUUAAAACAUAGGGGCGGGAGGGGGAGCUGAUAAGCACAUUGUUGUAACUGAUUUGUAUGUUUGAAUUGUCUUAUCAGAAAACAAGGUUAUGAAUUUCAUCUGUUGAGACACAAAAAUAAAAUACUUUCUUAAAAAA